rnacentral:lncRNA from 1 species
GAGAUGCAGAAUUUUUACAGCAAGACGACAGAAAGCAUAAAAAGAAGAUAAUAUUGUGAAGAGAAUAAAAUACAAAGGUAGGGGAUUCAAGAGGUGGGGUGAAGAGUGGGAGGGAGUGAGAGAGAGAGAGGGAGAUUGGAUGGCAUAGGAAGGGCUGAACCUGGAUAAAAGAAAUCUUUCAUUCAUUCAAAUAUUUCACAUGCAAUGCUUUAUAACAGGGAGCCAUUGGAGUAUAGGACCUUUUUUUUUCUUACAACUUGUUUUACAGCUAAGACUCUUGAUAACCUAAAAUACAAAAUUCUGAAACUCAUAAUACCUAUAUAGAAAGAUAUUUAAAACAAAAAAGAUAAUCAAACCCUAAAAAUUCUAUGACUUAGCCUGACAUCUACUUAAGGUAGGACUUUCCCCAACCAAUUCUAAUUAAAUCAAGGCCUUUUAUUGUAGAAUAAUUAAAUUAAGGCUUUAGAACCUAUUUUUGAAGUCACCUAAAUAAAUGUUUAAAAUAUCAUAGAUCUUUUUUUAUUUAUCAUCAUUCGCUUAUGCUACGUGGAUCUCAUCCUCAAGAUCUUUUUGAUAAUUUAUAUCAUCAUGCUCAAUUGUGAGAUCUCUAGGAUUUUUUGAAGAAAAGUAGUGUAUAGAUCUCUAGGAUUUUUUGAAGAAAAGUAGUGUAUAGUUUUCUAGUGAUUGAAAGAUCAGAUUAUGCAAUCAUGUGCCACUUAAUUAAUCUAUAGACCAAGGUUUGCCAUCUCGAUACCAGAUCCUACACUAGUACCACCCUAUAUAGGGCCCAGUUCGGAGUACCGAAUGUUGGUACACCUUCUGUACUGCAUACCAAUUUAGUACCAAUAUAAUACGAUACGAUCAGUACGCACUAGUACCGACUGGUACAACAAACCUUGCUACAAACAGAUGAUCAAAGGAUUCUUCAAUCUAGGAUCUAAUGGAUCUUGAAAAUCAUGCUGAAUCUCAAUUAUUGACUUCAUAGAAGUAAAAUGACUACAUCAUGUGUAUCUUCAACUAUUUCAAUCUUCCUUCAAACAAUGAUGGUCCAUGGACUGCAAGGUUCUACAUUGAGACAUUCCU